UCUCCCUUAGUUUACUUCUUUUAUGUCCUAGACAUGGUGACAUUUCCUUGUCCAUACUGACUACUUAGCAGAACAGAUACAGGGAGGUCUAUACAGGGCAAAACACAAACCAAGAGUAAGCUAUUAUACAUGCUAGUGUGCAGCUGACCCAGCACUUAUGAUAGCAAUAAGAUUUGCCCCUGACACCCCUGUGGCUAUACCCACCCCCGCUCCAGGCCCUGCUAAGCCCUCAAUUUUGAUAAUGUGCUUUCUGUCCCUUCUGCCAAAAUCAUGUUGCUGGGAUCUGAGAAGGGACAGGUUAUAAGUCUUGAGAGUUACAAGUGCUACCCAUUUACCUGGCUUUCAACGUCUCUGGGAGCAGGGCCAGUAUGUGGAUUUCAAGCAGGGGGGUGGGGCGGGGGAGAAUUUCUGGAAGACCAAGUGCAUCUUUCCAAAAUUUAGGAUUUGGGGCCUGAUUCCUCAUUCUGCACCACAGACCCACAGUCUCCAAUUGUAUUACCGACCUUCUGAAAGACCUGCUAGUUUUCCCACAAUGGGAUUCAUACAUUAAAAUUAAUCAAUAGAACAGAUUAAGGCUGAAACUAAGCUGAGCAUAAAUUAUUUUCUUGGCUGAGUGGGGCUUAGGGUGGAGCAGGAGUGCUGUCUGUGAGGUCAUGAUGUCUGCUCAGCUUCAGCAUCAGCCUCGGAUAAGUCAUGGCCAGGUCAUGUUAGCUUUCUAGCCUGUGCACUUUGCCUACCUGUAUGAUGAGGCUGUUCUCUCCUGCUUGUUGUUAGAUGAUAUACUUGAUUUCCAGUGGGUGUCCAGAGUCCCUUUUACUGCUACAGAGUUGUUUAAGCCUCCUCUACAUCCCAGAGAUAAACUUGAAAAUAACCCCUCAGCCUAGAGUACUCUCUAACUGUUCCCAGUAGGUAGAAGUGAAAUGUAAACAGCCAAGAGGGUGGCGGUGUCCCUUGGUGGGUUGCAGAGCCCGUGGGUGAGUCAGAUAUAAAUGGGAUUGAGUGAUGGCUCUCUUGUCACCCUGGAGAGGGAAGAUAGCUUUUCUCCAGGAAUUGGUUAUUGUUUGUUGUGAGCUUUCCCUGAGCUGGUGUGUGAAAACAUUUAUCAGAAGGCAUGCUAUAUUUAGUGACAUAGGGAGGUGCCACAUGCUGCAUUCAUGGCUCUUCUGUGGGGACACAGAAAGUGGGGAGGUGGUGGGGAGGGAGUUCUGUGUAUUCUUCUCUAGAAUUCCCAUGCUAAGCAUGGAGAAGAGCAAGGCACAUCCCAGCAUGACCUGGGAUCCUGAUGAGACCAUGUCACUGCAUUUGGAGAGAUAGCUAACACAAUGGUGUGUGUGUGUGUGUGUGUGUGUGUGUGUGUGUGUGUGUGUGUGUGUGUGUGAUUUUAUAUGAGGAUCCUGAAGAGCCCAUGUUUUUAAAGAUAGCUAACAUGUGGGAGAGCAUACUACCAGGGGCGGGUCACCAAGCUAACAGAAUGUAUAUGCCAGAAGAGUCUCUGCUUUAUCUUAUCCUACUUCCUCCAACAUGUAGCCACAUCUUCCAGUCUGUCAUUCAAGCUCCUUUUGAAAGUUAAAGCCACUGUGAGUGACCCUUGGCUCCUGAAACACACACAACUCACAAAAGCAGCCUUCAGGUUAUGACCUAAAUAGGCCCAAAUCUCUGCUACAGUGGAGGAAUGAUUCCCCAAAACAGCACACAUUAGGACCACAGAGCUCAUGGCCUUAAAGGGCCAUAGCUCCCCCCCCCCAUGCUUUCCGAGGAAGUCAUGAAGAGAGGUGUGUGUCAGGAUAUACCACAUAGGAUCCAUCUUUCAACCUCCCUUCACAUUGUCUCGUGCCCUGACAGGUAGGAGUAACAGCUGAUCCCAUGACCAGUGCCCCGGCACGUGUGACAUUCCCUGAACCUGGGCUGUGUUCUUCCCUGCCUCUUCUCCAUGUCUUAAGAGGCAACCCUGCAGCUUGCUCAGCCUUUACUCUGGUUCUCUCCAUCCAGAUCUCAACACUGACUAGGUUAGAAGGCAUCUCACAGCCAGGGUCCGGGCAGCCAGGGGAUUAUUUGCAGAGGAAUAUGUGUACAUACAUGUGCUAUGAUGUCCAUUUAUAUGUGUGCACUUAUGUACAGCAUAUAUGUGCUCAUGUACAUGCAGCUAUCCUUGUUACACUGUCACCUCUGUGCACUUUUGACCUUCUUGUCUUACUCUGCAUUUGCCAUUAAAAACGUUGAGUUUCAGGGAUUGGGGGGUGGGGGGUGGCUUGGUGAUUAAAGGCAUUUGUCACUAAGCUUGACAACUUGAGGUCAAACCCUGAAGCCCAUUGUGUGAACUGACUCAAGGAAAACUGAUUUUGUCUGUCCUAUAGUGUGUAUAACACAUCAAAUAAACAAACAAUAAUAAAAAAUAUAAUUAAAAAUGUUUUUCCAUAAUGCUAUCCCCUUCUCAAAUGUUACCCCUGAAGCCACUGUGAUCAUUGGUCAAUGCUUAGCUUGGGAAUGGCCUGUGACCCUCUUUGUCCCUGCUGGUCAUGCAGACAUAGAACUCAUGUCGCAUGUGCCCUUGUUUGUCCAUUGUUUGACUGCAGAAGGCUUCAAAGACAGAGACUAGGUCUGAGUCACUUUUCCCUCUGCAGCAAUUUGCCA
rnacentral:lncRNA from 1 species